rnacentral:rRNA from 1 species
CGGAGGAAAAGAAACUAACAAGGAUUCCCCUAGUAACUGCGAGUGAAGCGGGAAAAGCUCAAAUUUGAAAUCUGGCGGUUCUUGGACCCGUCCGAGUUGUAAUCUAGAGAAGUGUUACCUGUGCUGGACCGUGUACAAGUCUCCUGGAAUGGAGCAUCACAGAGGGUGAGAAUCCCGUCUUUGACACGGACUACCUGUACGAUAUGGUGCGCUCUCGAAGAGUCGAGUUGUUUGGGAAUGCAGCUCAAAAUGGGUGGUAAAUGCCAUCUAAAGCUAAAUAUUGGCGAGAGACCGAUAGCGAACAAGUACCGUGAGGGAAAGAUGAAAAGAACUUUGGAAAGAGAGUUAAACAGUACGUGAAAUUGCUGAAAGGGAAACGCUUGAAGUCAGUCACGUCGGCUGGGAAUCAGCCUUGCUUUUGCUUGGUGUACUUUCUGGUUGUCGGGUCAGCAUCAAUUUUGACCAUCGGAUAAGGUCAUUGGGAAUGUGGCAUCUUAGGAUGUGUUAUAGCCCGUUGUCGCAUACGGUGGUCGGGAUUGAGGAACUCAGCACGCCGCGAGGCCGGGUCUUUUGACCACGUUCAUGCUUAGGAUGCUGGCAUAAUGGCUUUAAUCGACCCGUCUUGAAACACGGGACCAAGGAGUCUAACAUGCCUG